rnacentral:lncRNA from 1 species
ACACGUCAAGGGGCUGUGGAGGGGCUGGCACAGGGUCGUUUCCUGGGGCUCAGUGAUGUCCCUUGCAGGGGACACUGAUGUGGAGCACAGAGAGAAAGCCCAGGGAGCUCCCCCGGCUCUGAGUACCAGGUUUGUUGACUGAGGGCCAUCAGUAGGGAAAUGCAGGUAAUUAGCUCCUUUGUCCUUGCUGGAUAACAGCAGAGGAUACCAGCAGAAACAGAAACAUAAAUAUUGAAUUAUAAAAACAGAAUUUAUAUAGUCAUGGAAUGUAUACAUACAUUAUAAAGUGGAAUUUCAGGUCUAAAGCAUUCAGUUACCCAGUGGGUACAUUGAAGUUUUGUCUCUGUAUGCACAAAACACUUCCUCUUUCCAUUGAUGCAAAUAACUUGAAAUGAAUAAUGUUUUUCUUGUUUGUUAGCAUCAUCUCCCCCUGUUGUCCAUCGACAUGAAAUGCAGUGUUCUGAAACAUGAGAAAGGCAAUACAUUUCCUCCAGUUCUUUGUAAGCUGAUACGAAGUAGACAGACACCUUCUGAAGUUUUGUGCAUGCUGUGCUCUUUUUUUCUUUGCUGCAACAAGAAAAGUCUUUUCUUUUAACCUGGCUUACUUUGAAGAAGUAACUCAGGAAGCUUCAUGGCCUCUCAAGAAUCUCAACAACAAACAACCACAGUCUUUAAGGAUUACCUCCCUGGUUCUUCUGGCCUUCCUGAACAAGAUAAGCCUGUUGAACCCACAAGCCUCUGGAAGCAAACAUCACAUGCUCAUAACUUGCCACCUGGUCUGGAGUAUCUGAAUCAGGUCCUGGAUAUUUUCAAAUGCUAAAACUGUUCUGUUUUCAUCAUAGACUGAUAAAUUUGGGGGGUGGGGGAGUGUUCUUUUUUUUUUUUUUUUUUUUCCUUGUGAAGAGGGAGUUGGAGAAGGGGAAGCUUUUUGGUUGUCUGAUAUUACUAUGAAAUAAGGAACAUAGGACUAAUAAGCUCUUCCUUCAUUGCUGCCAUUCAUUUUUAUGGAAAACCAUUUGUUGUACAGUUCUCCUUGCCCCCCAAACACAAUUUUCUUCUCUCUAGGACUUGCUUUUUCCUGAUCAUAACUUUUAUCCCUCUCAUUGUCCUGCCCAGAUUCCUUCCAGCUCCUUAAGAGCUCACUUCCAGGGAAACCACUGCCAACCUCCGUCUGACCUCAAAACUAGUCUGGUUGAUGAAAACAAGCAGUGUGCUGAAGGAACUGUCACAUUCCAUCCUUUUGGGAACAUGCAGGUCUUCUGAGCAAAUUCCUUGUGCCCACUGGGACAGUGUCCUCAAGGUUAGAGGGAGGGUCCUGGGAAAGCCAUAUCCCAAGGGGAUGACUUGGUGAGUGAAAGCCUGAGCUGGUUUGGGCUGUGGGGCAGGAAAGGGCUAG